GAUGAACGCUGACAGAAUGCUUAACACAUGCAAGUCGAUGGGGAAGUGGUGCUUGCACCAUGGCAACCAUGGCGGACGGGUGAGUAACGCGUAAGGGACUUACCUGCAGGACUGGGAUAACAGGGGGAAACUCCUGACAAGACCGGGUAAUGUCAUGGAGCUGCAUGGCUUUAUGAUGAAAGGAGACGCCUGCGGAGAGCCUUGCGUCCUAUUAGCUAGUUGGUGAGGUAAUGGCUCACCAAGGCGAAGAUAGGUAGCCGGCCUGAGAGGGUGGACGGCCACAAGGGGACUGAGAUACGGCCCUUACUCCUACGGGAGGCAGCAGUGGGGAAUAUUGGACAAUGGGGGCAACCCUGAUCCAGCAAUUCUGUGUGCACGAAGAAGGUUUUCGGAUUGUAAAGUGCUUUCAGCAGGGAAGAAGUAAGUGACGGUACCUGCAGAAGAAGCGACGGCUAAAUACGUG
rnacentral:rRNA from 1 species